AGUUGAAUAUGGAGUCAUGAAUGGACUGGGUAGUAGUGUGGUAUACUAAAAACAACAAAUGACCAAAAACUAGAGAGUAAAUAUUAAAUAAGAUUAAACUGAGACUAAUCAACAUCUUUCUGUAUGUGUUUCCUUUCGUGUGGUGUAAGUGUGACCUGUAUUGGUCGUGGUGAUGUGUAUCAGCUGACUAGUGAUUAGUCAACAGAGUAGACCAGAUAAUAGAGGGUUCGAAGGGGAGUAAAUGUCCCAGAUGUUUG
rnacentral:lncRNA from 1 species